rnacentral:rRNA from 1 species
GGACUACACGGGUAUCUAAUCCCGUUUGCUCCCCUGGCUUUCGUGUCUCAGCGUCAGCACACUCCCAGCUACCUGUUUUCACCAUUGGCGUUCCAAAUGAUAUCUACGCAUUUCACCGCUCCACCAUUUGUUCCGGUAGCCCCUAAGUGGCUCAAGACACCCAGUAUACCAAGCAGUUCCACAGUUGAGCUGUGGGAUUUCACAAGGUACUUAGGCAUCCGCCUACACACGCUUUAAGCCCAGUGAUUCCGCCUAACGCUCGGCACCUCUGUAUUACCGCGGCUGCUGGCAC